GACUUGUCUGAAGGUACUGAGUUAUCUCAGUUGAUUGUUCAUGGUCAGUUAUAGACUGAACUCCUUGUUCCACUCUUUCUCUCCUUCUCACUAACUGCACUUGACUAGUCUUUA
ensembl:misc_RNA Y_RNA Y RNA